rnacentral:lncRNA from 1 species
ACAAGAACAAAUAUCUUCUGUCUGAUCAUCUCUCAUUCCUCUUAGCUAGAGCAGAGAUGAUAGGAAUUUUCCUGAGAGCAAAAUAAAUCAGUCAUCGCAUGGCUGUUGGCAUUCACAGCCAUCUGGCAAGGCAACUUCAGGACUGUGACGUCAGCUAGGUAUGUCAUAACCUGCACAGUGCCCUGCCUCUAGCGCUGCACAAGCUCCAAACAGACCAGUGAGAAGAGGUGACAAAGUCAAGUACGCAGAGUGAUGGGGCUCUCUCCCUUCACGAUCUCCAGGAGCAAGAGUGCAGUGCUGCUGGGCAAGACAUCACAUAGAAAAGGGCAUGAUUCUUCAGUGGGACUGACAAUUUAUCCUCAAGGACACAAAAAUAUUGCAGUGCUCCUUUAAAGGAUCACUCUGUUAAAGAGACAGAAAUUCCUUCUGAGGAGGAUGGCUCUUAUUCCUGGAUCAAAGUCCUCUUUAUGUGUAUUUUCACAUUCAGCAGUAGAAAAGAGUUUUAAAAAAACAUGACAGGCUGAAGUCAAACAACUUCACCUGGACAGACUACACUGAAGUCUAUUUGAGCAAAAGCACUCUGCUUGUACUCAGUGUGGAUGGAUCUAAAGUUUAAAGUCUCAUUUACGGUUUCCAGCUGACCUCACUGGUAAGGUCUUUCUGCAACUUGUUAUUAAAAACUUAUAAUAACAAUAUUUUGAUAGCCUUUAAAAUGCUUCCCUCUAGUACUACUAUCUUGGCCAUUUCCUCAGAGGAAACCUACUCAUUAUAGAAAUUUGCAAUAAUAUGGUGAAGAAAUACAGCAAUAUUGCUAAAAUCCAGAUUACUAGCUCAGAGACUUCCCCAGGGCCUCAGGCUGCUAUUUAAACUAAUUUUCAUGUAAACAGCACCAUGAAGAUACAAUACUACUUGUGGAGUAUUUUUUUUGACAGAGCGGAAGCUACCACCCAUGUUUCAAUCUUGGUUCAGUUUUCAUAACUUGACUAUUUCCUGUGUUUAAAAUUACUUGGAAUCAAUUUUUUUUUGCUUGCUUGUUGAUUUUUAAAUUUAGUCUUGCUUUACCUCUAUUCUAUUCAUUUUUCUGAAUGUCUGUGACGUGUUAAUGUAUAAUAUAUAUGCUUGCUCUCUUCUCUUUUCUCUACCAAGUCAGGUGUUUCAAUAGUGUUGCAUUUUGGAUUGUUUUCAAACCCAGUUCAGAUGGAGAAUCAUAGAUGCAUUAAGGUUGGAAAACACCACUAAGGUCAUUUAGUCUAACCACCUACUCAUG